GAGUUUGAUCCUGGCUCAGGAUGAACGCUGGCGGCGUGCUUAACACAUGCAAGUCGAACGGAGAUUAUACGCAGAGGCGAUUUCGGUCAAAUCAUGUGUAAUCUUAGUGGCGGACGGGUGAGUAACGCGUGGGUAACCUGCCUUACACUGGGGGAUAACACUUAGAAAUAGGUGCUAAUACCGCAUAAGCGCACGAAGCCGCAUGGAUUUGUGUGAAAAACUCCGGUGGUGUAAGAUGGACCCGCGUCUGAUUAGCUUGUUGGCGGGGUAACGGCCCACCAAGGCGACGAUCAGUAGCCGGCCUGAGAGGGUGGACGGCCACAUUGGGACUGAGACACGGCCCAAACUCCUACGGGAGGCAGCAGUGGGGGAUAUUGGACAAUGGGGGGAACCCUGAUCCAGCGACGCCGCGUGAGUGAAGAAGUAUUUCGGUAUGUAAAGCUCUGUCAGCAGGGAAGAAAGAAAUGACGGUACCUGACCAAGAAGCCCCGGCUAACUACGUA
rnacentral:rRNA from 1 species